CACCACAGCAGGCAAAACCGGCUGCAAAGACCGCCGUCCAUUUCGCACCAGGCCGGGGAAAGGAGAGGUGAAGGUGUCUGUGUUGAACAUACGAGGCCCCUUCUCUGCUGAAAUUAUAAGACCAACAAACCCGCAGAUGAACGUGCCAAUACAGAGCAGCAUCUCAGUGCACCGACCACAGCCCUCUGUGGCAGCCAGCAGACCUGCCAGCUCCAGCACGGUGUCAAAGGGACCACCAACAGUAACUGCCAUGUUGAGGAUAGGAUCGUGUCUUAGCAAAGACAUCGUUUCCAGUUCCACAAUGCAUCGUCAGCGCCUUUCUCCUGGGCUGCGUCCGCUGUGCUCGCCUGGGGUCUCCAGUUCUGCAAUGAGUGAGUGUCUUAUCAUCAGAUCUCUGGUUCUGCACAAACACAUCCAGAAGAAGACACCAGACCGUCCAGCAGCUCAGUGACGGAGUCACUUUGUUUCAUCUGAGCUUCAGGCCUCGCUUACUCACAGGAUCAACUCGAAGAAGAUGAGCUUCUCGGAGACGGAGCUGAAUGAGUUGUCGAAGCAGAACAUGUAGUCUCCGUCCUCGGUCUCCACCCUGGAGGAAAGCACACGCAUCGCUGAACAGAACUUGGCCAGACGGAGAGGAUAUGAAGAAAUCUACAUCGAGACCUGCACCAUCUAAUACCUGUGCACAGUUUUUCCUCUCAAGGUCUCCAUCACGCUCCACUGAAAGCGAUGCUUUGUCCUCCAGGGUAGACACUACUACAGAUAUAUAAAAUGCUUGGAUUGUCUCCCACGUGAAAAAAAACAACAAAGGGCAACUCCCUGUGCUCUCUUUUUGAGUAGAGUCAGAGAUUCAUUCAGUGCAUAACAGGCAUAACGGGUUCCUAACAAUAUGAAAUUUAAAGUGAGUCACAUAACCUGCUGGGUCUCUCACUCAACAGAAAGUGUGAAUCAGCACAGAAGUGUGGUUUGCAUUAAUGUUAUGUGCAAAUGUUAUGUAAUUCAGAAAAUGUGUAUAGUAGCCAUAA